UGGGCUCGUGUCCAAAUGGCAAAGUUUGACACAAGCUGAGGAGGAGAACAUUCCUUUAUGGCAUCCUGUACUUUGUUGAACAGAAGCAAUGAUAACAGGUACUCCUGCCUUUUCCUGGAAUUUGAAAGUGCCUGUGGCUGUCUUCCUGCUGUCCCGGUAACCACUGUCAUCUGACCUAAAACCACGGACUGAGAGGGCUCAUCAAAAACAGGUUCUUGCUUUGAACAACAGAACACUUUGAGUGACUCACUGGUCAGAUGCUGUAAGGUAUUUUUUUAUUUUUAUUUUUGCUAAAGCUAAAAAUACAUUAAUCAGUUAUGUCUGUAGAUGUUUUGAAGACCUAAUAAAGAAUGAAGAAAAUAUUCAUUUGUAUAUUAAGCAGUUAUUAUUAGGCCUAUAUUUCUUUUUUUAGAGACAGGGUCUCACUCUGUCACCCAGGCUGGAAUGCAGUGGCAUGAUUCUACCUCACUGCAAUCGAGAACUCCUGGGUUCAAAUGAUCCUCCUGCCUCAGCCUUCCAAGUAGCUAGUACUACCAGCCACACCACCAUACCUGGCUAAUUUUUUUUAUUUUAAUUUUUUUGUAGAGACAGGUCUUGCUAUAUUGUCCAGGCUGGUUUUGAACUCUUGGCCUCAAGCCAUCUUUCUGCCUUGGCCUCCCAAAAUGUUGGGAUUACAGGCAUGAGCCACCCUAACCACCUAGGCUUAUAUAUUUUUUUGCUCUAUUUUAUAAAUAAUUAUUUUAGAGUAGAACAGGGAAAUAAGAAGUGUUCGUUAUUUUUGGCAUAGUUGUGAUGAUUCUUGUGCAGUUGGUUUUCUCUGCCUGGCGGUAACCAGGCAACAAGAGUUGUCACAAGAAUGAACUGUGAAGACUGAAUUUUUAAAAAUUAAGUCUUUAAAAAAAUCACCUUCCCAUAGUUCAUAUUUUCUAUUUCAUCCAAAUUCUUUUUAAUUUAAAUCUUAAAAUAUAGUCAAACCUUCAAGAUGGAAUGCUAUAUUUUAAUCAGUUUUUAUUUAGCUGUUAUUUAGACAUUUUUAGUCAAACUUUAAACAUUUUUAGCUAUUCUGUUUUUGCAGUGUUUCUUUGAAAAGCUGGGGAAAUAAUUUUUGAUAAUGCUGAUGCAGUAUAGCACUAAGCCAAAAAUUCCGUGUUGGAUAUUCUUUAGCUAAUUGCUAGUUCCGUGACCCUAGGCCAGUUUCAAUGUAGAAGUAAAAUAAUAGAACUAACCUCAUAAGACUGUUUGGAGAAUUCAGUGAGAUUAUGCACACAAAACACUUGACAUAUACCUUGGUACUCAAUGAGUGGUUAGUCAAUGUUAGUUUAUAUCAGCUAUGUUAAUACUUAUCUGUUAAGAGAUGCAGAAAAUUUCUGAUUUCAGUAAUUAUUAGUGUUAACUUCCUGCUUAAGGGGAUCACUGCCUGGGGUCGGGAGCUGUCUUUUUAAACAUCUGGUUCCAGUGUGAAGGUGAAUAUUUUACAGUCAACUCUUCCAUGAGAACUACAGGUGGGAAAUGCAGAAAUAAUCUUAAUUGGAUGCUCCAAAAGCCAUUAGUGGAUAUUAUUCAGAACCAUUCCUUAUUUUGAAGUAUGAUAUAUAUUUAACAGGUAAAAAUGUACAUUUUAGAUUAGAAUUAUGUAAAACUUUUAUGUGUUGUCCAAUAAUCACUUACAGUUUUAUCGUUUUCAAUAGUUUUAUUCUGUUUUUCUUUGUUUAUAUGUAGGUUAAUUUAUAUUUUUUACCAGCAAUCUUACUUCAUUUUCUGCUGCCGAAUAACAGGGAACCUCAGGUUGGGUAAAGAAAAAUUUAAGUGGCCCAUAGUUUUAGUGGCUGGGAAGACCAAGAGCAUGGUGCCGGGAUCUGGCAAGAGGCUUUGUGUUGCAUCCUAACAUAGUGGAAGUUCAGUUGUACUUUCUUCAUUCCAGAUGCACAGAAAAGAAAUAUUUUAUUUAUCUUUUAUGACACAUUGUGAACAAUGGUGCUGGAAGAAUGAACUUAGAAUACAGGUGGUCAGGGGGCUGCAAGACGGCUGACUAGAGGCACUUGGCACUGGGCACUCACCUGCUUCACAAACAAGGACCAAAACAGCAAAUAGAUAACCACAUGUUGAACAGAGCUUCUAAGAGAGAACACUAGCAUACAGCAAGAAAGUGACAGGGAACCCCUGAGGUACAGAAGGAGAGGAAAGCAAGGCAGCCAUACUGGCCAGGAUUGACUUGGAGCCAGGAGAAAUUCUCCAUUAUGAGGAAAAUGUAAGUGAGAGAUUCUCAGUGGUCUACAUUCCCAUCAUGCACUCCUGCAAUUCUAGCCACUUGAUAAGCCCCUUAGCUCUUUUGGGCCCUGAGUUAGUACAGGGAGCUGCCUGGUGUCCAGAUGACAGCACUGAUCCAGAGAGGAAGUGUGUACUGGGUCCCAUACAUCCCCCGAGACUCAAGCAGCUGCAGCACAGUAUAAUUUUGUACUACUCUGGUGGGACUGGGCUCUCAAAAUGAUGAGAUAGUACCUAUACAUCCACAUUUCUGAAGCCUUGUUGAUAUCCCUGACAUCAACCCAGAAGGCUGCAAUAUUGUGACACCAGCUGGACCCGGCAGUGGGAAGAGGGCCCCAGCAUUCUAGCCCACUCAGUGUUCUACAGUUCAGGGAAUAAGCAGUGCAGUGUACCAGGGAGGCUGCAUCUGGGACAAAGAGAGGGUGUGCUGCUCGGAGCCAGAGAGCUGCCUGCCUGGAGCCGCUGCCGCUGACAGAAACCCCACCCCAUUUGGCAGCAGGACCACUGUGCAUCUGCACACACCUUUAAGUGGUCUGGGAACUAGAACAGUCUUGGGGCCUGAGGACAGGCCCAUACGGACUGCCACUGCUAGUGCCCAAAUAUGUUUUUUGGCGGCCUGAAGACAGGCCCACCCAACCUGCCACUGAUACCUGCAUGCAUCUCCAAGGGAACCAGGGACUGGUUUGCCCAGCCUUCCGCUGCUGCCACCACUGAUACCCACUUGUGUUCACCAGCUUGACUGGGGACUAGCCUGCCUGGCCAACUGCUGCCUCUGCUGUCAGCCUUAGCAUGAGGCUUGGGGCCUGAGGGUUGUCCUGUUGCCACUACUGCCAUUGGUGAUUCCACACAUGCUGAGCAGGGACCCAAGGACCCAUUGGCCUGGCCUACCAAUGCCAUUACUGGCACCCAAAUAAGCUGUCUGGAGGCACAAGGACCAGCAUGCUCAGAUCUACCACUAUUGGCAUCCCUAUUUGGCACCUGGAGGCCCAAAGAUCAGCAUGCCUGCCAUACUGCCAAAAAAUUGAAGAGGAGAGAAUCUUUCUAAGCAUACUAGGAGGCCAGCAUUAACACUGGUAGCAAAAGCAGACAAUGCUGUACAUAAAAAUAAAACUAUAGGCCAGUAUCUCUGAUGAACAUAGAAGCAAAAAUCUCAACAAAUGCAAACCAAAUGCAACAACACAUCAGAAAGAUAAUACACUGCGAUCAAGUGAGAUUUAUCCCAGGAAUGCAAGGAUGGUACAACAGAUGCAAAUUAAUACACAUGAUACAUCACAUCAACAGAACAAAGGAUGAAAUACAUAUGAUCGUAUCAAUAGAUACAGAAAAAGGAGUUGACAAAAUUUAACAUCUCUUCAUGAUAAAAACUCUCAAUAAUGUAGGAAUUAAAGGAAUAUACCACAACAUAAUAAGGUUGAUGUAAAACAAAUCCACGGCUAACAUCAUGCUGAAUGGAGAAAAGCUAAAAACUUUUCUUUUAUGAAUUAGGAUAAGACAAAGAUGCCCACUUUUACCACUCUUAUUCAACAUACUAUUGGAAGUGCUAGUUAGAGCAAUCAGGCAAAAGCUAGAAAUAAAAGGCAUACAAAUCAGAAAGAGGAAGUCAAAUUGUCUUUGUAGAUGAUGUGAUAUUAUAUUUAGAAAAGCUUAAAGCCUCUACCAAAAAAACUCUUUGAACUGGUAAAUUCAGCAAAGUUGUGGGAUACAAUCAGCAAACAAAAAUUAGUAGCAUUUAACACACCAAUAACAAACUAGCAGAAAAAGAAAUCAAGAAAACAACAUCUUUUGCAAUAGCUACAAAAAAUAAUAAAAGACCUUGGAAUAAAUUUAACCAAGGAGGUGAAACACUUCUAUAAUGUAAACUGCAAAACAAUAAUGGAAGAAAUUAAAGAGGACCCAAACAAAUGGAAAGAAAUCCCAUGCUUAUGGAUUAGAAUAAUUAAUAUUGUUAAAAUGACAAUACUACCCAGAGCAAUCUACAGAUUCAAUGCAGUACCCAUCAAAAUACCAAUGAUAUUUUUCACAGAAGUAGAAAGAACAAUCUUAAAUUUUGUAUGGAACCACGAAAUACCCAAAUAGCCAAACAACCCUGAGCCAAAACAAAAUAAAAAACAACAACAACAACAACAAAAAACCCAAAGCUGAAGUUACCACACUACCUGACUUCAAGAUAUGCUGCAAAGUUAUAGUAAUCCUAAAGGCAUGAUAUUGGUAUGAAAACAGAUACAUAUAGACCAGUAGAACAGGAUAGAAAACCCAGAAAUAAAUUCACAUAUUUGCCGCCAACCAAUUUUUGACAAGGUGCCAAGAAUAUACAUUGGGGAAAAGGCAGUCUUUUCACUAAAUGGUGCUAGAGAAACUGGGUAUCUAUAUGCAGAAGAAUGAAACUAGACCCCUAUGUAUUACCAUAUAAAAAUCAAAUCAAAGUGGAUUAGAAACUUACACACAAGACCCAAAACAUAAAAUUAUAGACAGAAACAUUAGAGGAAAUGCUCCCAGGUCAUCUAGGCAAAGAUUUUAUGUCUAAGGCUUCACAAAUAUAGUCAGAAAAGACAAAAAUAUCCUAAUGGGACUAUAUUAAGCUAAAAAGCUUCUACACAGCAAAGGAAAUAAGCAACAGACUGAAGACACAAUCUGUAAAAUGACAGAAAAUAUUUACAAAUUAUCCAUCUGACAAGUCACUGACAUAAGGAACUCAACUCCACAGCAAAAUUCGGCAAUGCACAUGUACUCCUCAAUUUAAAAUAAAAGUUACAUAAAAAAAAGUCGACAAAGGAUAUGAAUAAUUUUCUUUUAAAAGAAUACAUACAAAUGACCAAGAGUUAUGUGAAAAAAUAUGCUCGCUAUUACUAAUCAUCAGUGAAAUGCAAAUCAAAGCCACAAUGAGAUAUCAUCUCACCUCAGUUACAACGAGUAUUAUCAAAAAACCAAAAAAUAACAAAUGUUGGCCAGGAUACAGAGAAAAGGAACUAAACAGUAUGGAGGUUUCUCAAAAAACUAAAAAUGGGACUGCCAUACAAGCCAGCAACCCUACUCCUGGAUAUUUAUGCAAAGGAAAGGAAAAUAAAAUUUUAUUUUCUCUUUUUCUUCCACAUUUUCAUUUUCUACCAAAUCAAAGAAAUUACAUUUACCUUGUAUGUUCUGUAUCUUCCUGCUUUUCUGCCAUUCUUCAUACUAUUCCUUCAACCUGGAGUGCCCUUUCCCUCCUUUCUGUAUAAACUCUUAUCUUUCCAAAUCUGACUCAAAGGGCAACUUCCUUAAAGCAUUUUUCCUGAUCUACUCCUGCUUUCCCACUUGCCAAAAGGAAUUAAUUUGUCCUUCCCUUAUGCCUCCUCUGCUCUGUGCUAUUAGUGCCAAGCAGAUUUGCUAAUAGCAAAGGUUAUUAUUAAGUCUACCGCCAGAAAGGCGUAUCCAUGUACUUAUGCCCACUGCAUCCUGGGCUACUGUUUAAGUCCACCAGUCACUGAUUACCAGUUUGUCUAAGUCCAGUGAGACAGAAGAUACUCACACACAGAUUAUGUAAAGCAAGUUAAUUACUUAUAGGUCAGCAGCAAGAGACAAAAAAAAAAAAAAACCACCUCAGAUCCAUUGUGAGCCAGUCUCCCAAGACUCAAGAAAGCUGCCAUGGUGGAUGGCAUCUCGACUGCAUAUGCUGGACUUUGCACCACAGCUGAGGCAUCCUGAAAGCCAUCCUGCCUUGGUUAUAUACCUCAGAGGCCACAUGACACAGUGGGCAAAGCUUUGAAGGACAUCCUGUUGCAGAUGAGAGAGGAGCAAAGUCUGAGCUGUCCCUGGCACUUACUCCCUAACUCAAGAUGUUACCUUCUCUGGGAGGGACAGGAACAAUGUCCAGGCUGUUUGAGGCAGUUCCUUCCCGAUUUCAGGAUAUAAUAUUCCCAGCACAUUCUAUGGUUAUUCUUGAGAACUAUGAGCAAGAAAGGGGGAGAUCUAGGUUGGUACAAGACCACCUGGAGAACUGUCCUGCAGAUCUUUCCUCUAUUAGGGGUUUUAAAUUCAUUGAAAGUAUGACAUUGGCUGAUUUUUAUUUAUGUUCUAUUUCUCAAUAUUCUUGGUAUGAUGAUUUGAACAUUAAUAGUUUUUUCAAAAUUACUUCAAAGAGGAUGGAUAUGAAAUCACCAUUAUAACCUACUAAUUACAUAGUUACCUUGAAUACCUGAAAACCAUAAGAGGAUACUUGGGAAUAUUUUUUUUUAUUGUGGUAAACAAACAUGUAAAAUAAAAUUUACCCUGUUAACCAUUUUUAAGUGUACAAGUGAGAACUCCUUUUUUUUCUUUUUGAGACAGAGUUUCGCUCUUGUUGCCCAGACUGGAGUGCAAUGGCAUGAUCUCAUCUAACCGCAACCUCUGCCUCCUGGGUUCAAGUGAUUCUCCUGCCUCAGCCUCCUGAGAAGGUGGGAUUACAGGUGCCCACCACCAUGCUCAGCUAAUUUUGUCUUUUUAGUAGAGAUGGGGUUUCUCCAUGUUGGUCAGCCUGGUCUCGAACUCCCAACUCAGGUGGUCCACCCACCUCAGCCUCCCAAAGUGCUGGGAUUACAGGUGUGAGCCACCACACCCAGCCAAGUGUACAAGUCAGAACUCUUAAGUAUAUUCACAGUGUUGUGCAAUUGAGCUCUAUAACCUUUUCAUCCUGUAACACUGAAACUCUUUAUCCACUAAACUGCAGGUCCCCUCCUACCUCCCCCAGUCCUUAGCAACCAACUUUCUAUUUUCUGUUUCUAUGAUUUUGACUAAUUAAGGUAUUUCAUAUGUGUGGAAUUAUACAGAAUUUGUCAUUUUGUGACUGGCUUAUUUUGCUUAGUGUAAUGACCUCGAGGUUCUUCCAUGUUGUAGUAUGUAACAGAAUUUCCUUUUUUAAGGCUGCAUAUUUCAUUGUGUAUAUAUACCACUUUUUCUAUAUUCGUUCAUCUGUCCGUGGACAUUUCAGUUGUUUCCACCUUGUGUUUAUUAUGAAUAAUUCUGUGAUGAACAUGGAUGUGCAAAUAUCUCUUCCAGGUCCUUCUCUGAAUACUUUUAAAUGUACGUACAGAAGUGAGAUUGCUGGAUUACAUGGUAAUUCUAUUUUUAAUUCUUUCGAGGAACCCUCACACUGUUUUCCACAAUGGCUAUAUCAUUUUACAAUCUCAGCAACAGAGCAUAAGGCUCCCAAUAUCUCCACUUUCUUGCCAACACUUGUUAUUUUGUGUUCAACAGUGUCCAGCCUAAUGACUGUGAGGCUAUAUCUCAUUGCGGUUUUGAUUUGUAUUUCUUCUAUUAGUAGUGAUGUCAAACGCAUUUUCAUAUGUUUCUUGGCCAUUUGUAUAUCUCGUUUGAAGAAUUGUCUAUUCAAGUCCUUUGUACAUUUAAAAAUUGUUUGUUUUUCUUCUUGUUGCUUUGAAAAAGUUCACUAUAUAUUCUAUAAAUGUUGACUUGUAACAAUUUUUAUAUGUAUAUUAACCGCUUAUUAGAUAAACAAUUUGCAAGUAUUUUCUCCCCUUCUGUAGGUUGCCUUUUCACUCUGUUGACUGUUUUUUUUUGAUGCAUGGAAGUUUUUCUGUUUGAUGUAGUCCUGUUUUUCUGUUUUUUCUUUUGUUGCAUGUACUUUGGGUGUCAUAUUCAAGAAAUUAUUGCCAAAUUCAAAUGUCCUGAUUCUUUCCCCCUAGGUUUUCUUCUAGGAGUUUUAUAGUUUUUGGUCUUACCUUCAGGUCUUUAAUCCAUUUUGAGUUAAUUUUUGUAUAUGGUAUAAGGUAGAGGUCCAGCUUUAUUCUUUUGCUUGUGGAUAUCUGGUUUUCCCAACACCUCUCACAACAUUUUGAAGAGAGUGGUGUUUCCCCUUUGUGCAGCUUUGGCGUCCUUGUUGAAAAUCAUUUGGCCGUCUACGCAAGAGUUUAUUUCUGGGCUCCCUAUUCUGUUCCAUUAUUAUAUAUAUCUAUGUCAGUACCUACUGUUUUGAUUGCUGUUGCUUGCAGUGUGUUUUGAAAUAAAAAAGUGUGAAGCUUCCAACUUCAUUCUUCUUUCUUAGUUGUUUUGGCUA